rnacentral:rRNA from 1 species
GUGUCAGCAGCCGCGGUAAUACGGAGGGUGCAAGCGUUAUCCGGAUUCACUGGGUUUAAAGGGUGCGUAGGCGGGUAUUUAAGUCAGUGGUGAAAUCCUAGAGCUUAACUCUAGAACUGCCAUUGAUACUAUUUAUCUUGAAUAUUGUGGAGGUAAGCGGAAUAUGUCAUGUAGCGGUGAAAUGCUUAGAUAUGACAUAGAACACCUAUUGCGAAGGCAGCUUACUACGCAUAUAUUGACGCUGAGGCGCGAAAGCGUGGGGAUCAAACAGGAUUAGAAACCCCCGUAGUCC